rnacentral:tRNA from 1 species
GGGAUUGUGGCUCAAGGGGUAGAGCGCUUGCCUAGCAUGCAUGAGGCACUGGGUUCGACCCUCAGCACCA